rnacentral:rRNA from 1 species
GACGAACGCUGGCGGCGUGCUUAACACAUGCAAGUCGAACGGAAAGGCCCUGCUUUUGUGGGGUGCUCGAGUGGCGAACGGGUGAGUAACACGUGAGUAACCUGCCCUUGACUUUGGGAUAACUUCAGGAAACUGGGGCUAAUACCGGAUAGGAGCUCCUGCUGCAUGGUGGGGGUUGGAAAGUUUCGGCGGUUGGGGAUGGACUCGCGGCUUAUCAGCUUGUUGGUGGGGUAGUGGCUUACCAAGGCUUUGACGGGUAGCCGGCCUGAGAGGGUGACCGGCCACAUGGGGACUGAGAUACGGACCAGACGCCUACGGGAGGCAGCAGUGGGGAAUAUGGCACAAUGGGCGGAAGCCUGAUGCAGCAACGCCGCGUGCGGGAUGCCGGCCUUCGGGUUGUAAACCGCCUUCGCCUGUGACGAAGCGUGAGUGACGGUAAUGGGUAAAGAAGCACCGGCUAACUACGUG